AUCCAGCUGACAAGUCCGGAACAGGAAGAAACGCGCGUCCAGGAU
rnacentral:hammerhead_ribozyme from 1 species